GUGUCAGCAGCCGCGGUAACACGUAGGCACCAAGCGUUAUCCGGAUUUAUUGGGCGUAAAGAGCUCGUAGGCGGUUUGGUAAGUCGGGUGUGAAAACUCUGGGCUCAACCCAGAGAGGCCACCCGAUACUGCUAUGACUAGAGUACGGUAGGGGAGCGGGGAAUUCAUGGUGUAGCGGUGAAAUGCGCAGAUAUCAUGAGGAACACCAGCGGCGAAGGCGCCGCUCUGGGCCGUAACUGACGCUGAGGAGCGAAAGCAUGGGUAGCAAACAGGAUUAGAUACCCUUGUAGUCC
rnacentral:rRNA from 1 species